rnacentral:tRNA from 1 species
UCUAGUAUGGCAGAUUAGUGCAAUGAAAUUAAAAUUCAUAUAUAAAAAUUUUUUUUUUAUUAGAA